CCCUUAGAUGUUCUGGGCUGCACGCGCGCUACACUGAAGCGUUCAACGAGUAUUCACCUUGCCCGGGAGGGUUGGGUAAUCUUUUUAAAACGCUUCGUGAUGGGGAUAGAUUAUUGCAAUUAUUAAUCUUCAACGAGGAAUUCCUAGUAAGCGCGAGUCAUCAGCUUGCGUUGAUUACGUCCCUGCCCUUUGUACACACCGCCCGUCGCUCCUACCGAUGAAUGGUCCGGCGAGGACUUGGGACUGCAGCACAAUUGUCUGGGGCAACUCGGGCAGUGCAUGCGGAAACUCGUUCAAACCUUAUCAUUUAGAGGAAGGAGAAGUCGUAACA
rnacentral:rRNA from 1 species